rnacentral:tRNA from 1 species
GGAGGAAUGGCUGAGCGGUCGAAAGCGGCGGUCUUGAAAACCGUUGUACUGCAAGGUACCGUGGGUUCGAAUCCUACUUCCUCCGCCA